UAACCUGCCUUGGAGUGGGAAUAACAGCUGGAAACAGCUGCUAAUACCGCAUAAUGCAGUUGGGUCGCAUGGCUCUGACUGCCAAAGAUUUAUCGCUCUGAGAUGGACUCGCGUCUGAUUAGCUAGUUGGCGGGGCAACGGCCCACCAAGGCGACGAUCAGUAGCCGGACUGAGAGGUUGGCCGGCCACAUUGGGACUGAGACACGGCCCAGACUCCUACGGGAGGCAGCAG
rnacentral:rRNA from 1 species